AGCCCCUCUGCACGCGUCGUGUCGGGCUCUACGCUGACUGGACCUGCUGCAACGCACUUCUUUCUUGGCAACAAACAACAACAGAACGUACUCUAGUGUGUGUGUGUGUGUGCUCACACAGCGCCGCGCAUCGCGCGUGAGAAUGCGUGCUGGUGUGUGGCCGCUUCCCUGCCUCUGUUACCGUUCUUUGCUUGUGCGUCUGUGCGUCCUGCGGGCAGUGGAGGCAAACACUACAGCGGCAGACGCACAUCGUGUCACUUCGGGGGGAGGGGGCCCUGGGUCUCACCCACUGCGCGAGAACGAAAAGCAGAGCACACACACGCACGACCUGCACGUAUGUGCUCUGUCUUGGGCUGCCUUUCUUCGUUCGCAUUCUCCCGUCCCUGCGCAUCCGCAACGCCAAUCAGUCGCACACACACACUGAAGAGUACGCUGGCUGUCUAUAAAAACGUAUAGGGUGCGGCUCGCGAUUAAGCGGCAUCUCUCCGCCAUGCUCGCUCAUCGCCGCUACUCUAGCGUAUCAUCCUCGUCGUCGGGCGUCUUCAGUGAGCCGAGUGAUGGCGGUACCAGCAGCGGCAAUGAUAGCAACUCUUACUACUCCGAAGGAUCCGGCUCCUACCGCUCCGUGUCCUCCGUGCUGACCUCCUCUCGGUCCGGGGCGACGACCACCGCAGCCACGGCAGCCAGCUCCACCUCAGCCGUCGACUCGUCGUCCACGAAUACAUUCUCAGAUGUGCUGACAACAUCGUCGGCGCGCUCGCACUCCUCAGCACCCCCCAGGCGCGCAGUGGCCCGCUCCGCUGCCUCCAGAUCCGAGGUCGUUGGGCACAAAACUACCAAAGGUGCCAGUGGCGUCGUCGUCGCCAACCACAAUAACAAGGGGGUAGGGGACACGCUGGCGCAGCGGACAGUCUUCACUUUCACGGAGACCACCACCGCCAGCAGUGCCACGGUGGACGACACCGACGCGCUCGUGAGUGCGCCGCAGUCGCCGAUGCCGCAAGCGGCACUCGCACCCGUCUCCAACCGCACCGCGGACGUCGCCAGGGAGAAGCGUUACCACAUCUCUGAGGAAGAGCUGGUGCGCCACCCAUGGGCGCCGGUGGAAUGCGACACGACCGUGGACGCGCGCAAGGGGGGCGGCGAUCGCGGUGGGUUGGCACUCAGUGUGCUGGACACGAUUCACACGGUCUCGAUGGCGGUGCCGCCGCCGCCAGAGGAGGCGCAGCGACGCCGCGAAGAGGGCGGCCUGACUUAUCCGAGCCGUCUGACGCUCCGCUUUGUGCGCAGCUCGUCACCACUGCGCCACUGCGCUGGCGCAGUGGCGCAGGACAAGGACGGCACGGGAAACGGCGGCGGGGGAGCGACGUUGGGAGCCGACGGCGCCACCGCCACACGUGCGCGCAAGACCUUCAUCUGCUGCUGCUUCCAUGGUUGCAGUGGGAAGGCGCCGUGCAAAAUGAAAAGUUACACGGCGAUGCGGCGGAAGCGUCACCAUCCCCUGCGCAGCCAUCACGUGCCGCUGGUGAACUUCUGCACGACGCGUGAGCAUGGCAUUCCGAUGGAGGGCGUCCAAAACGUGUUGCCGAGCGUCGAGGAAGCUGCUGGCUACCAAAACCUCAAAGUCGACAUGAUGGGCACAGAGGAGCUCCCGAAGCAGCUGCAGAAGGCAAUACAGCCAUGGGGCCGACCUGCCAGCGGCUUGCGCCUUGAAAAGUCGUACGCCUUUGGCCACGGAGCUGGCGGAGGGCAGGACGGGGCCGGGCAGUCUGCCUUUAUGCGUGACGGUGACCCGCAGGGCUUCUGGAUCGCGCAGCUGCACAGGCACGCAAGCGUGCGCCUCGAGCCCAUCGGGAUCGAGUGAGGCGUUCAUCAGCACAUGAGGGGUGGCGAGAGCGCGCGAGAAGGUGAGGUGGGGAGAACUGGGCUGGAGGGUGUGUAUUAGUGCGUACGGUUUGUGUGUGUUGGCGGGAGGGGUGCCGCACAGGCAUGAACGGAGACGCUCACGGCACCAUGCUCAUCCUUGUCUCCUCUCUUGCGCAGCUUCUGCAGCCCACGCAGGCGUGUGUGUGUGUGUCUUCUCCUCGAUCUAGAGUUCUUUUUUUUGUGUACAUGAAGCGCACAGCUGUGCACGUCACGACGUUGCCUGUUCAUGCGCUUGCAUACGGGCGUGUUUGUGGAUGUUUGCUAACUACCCCAUUCACCUCACCCCACCCUCUCUCUCCGUGUGUUGUACACCUGCGUCUAUACCACCGCACCUCUCUGUUACUGUUGUCUUGCUCUGCAAUCUCUUUUUCUCUCUGUGUCUCUUUCUGUAUUUCUGAUGCCCCCCUCCCCCAUCUUUCUUCUCCAAUGCUUGACACUGUGACCACGCCUCAGCGCCUUUGUCGGUCUCUCUAUUCCCUCUCCCCUACACACACUCGCUCUCCACGUGCCUCCAGCCCCUCCGCCGUCCGACACGCGCCGCUCUCUCCCCGAUCUCACGUGUUGGAGUCGUUUUAUUCGGCCAAAGCCACCGUUCCCGUCGCGCUCGUACGCCUGAUCGUACACCGACUCUCUCCGUUCUGCGUCUUCUCGUGCUUGCGUGAUGGAGCGAAGCUGGUAUGCAGAGCUUUAGGCGAGAGGCUGGUGCGGUUGUGCUCGUGCUCCGGGUGAGGUACUGUUGGCGGAGCGAGCGAGCACGAGAAGACGAGAAAGAAGUGUGCAUGUGUGCAUUGUGUGUGUGUGUGUGUGCGUGAGUCGGUGAAGGAUGGCGAGCGCAUACACACGCACCGAGGGGGGUGGGGAGGGCCAUCACUGCCUUGUACAUCUGCAUCUCUCUUCCGCUAGAGCAAAGUAAUGCACAAGACGGAAGCUCCCCAGCUGAACACGCUUGCACGCCGCUGCGUGAAACAGAGUAGUGACAGCCUCCGCAUGAGGAUACGCUUGGCCUUCUUGUUCCUCUUCCGCGAGCCUCCACCCCUCUCG
rnacentral:misc_RNA from 1 species